UGACUCACACAAUUUUGGAUACUAAGAUUUUAGUUUCAGGCAUACAGUGAACCAAAUGCAGACUUGAAAACUAGGAUGUUUAAGAGAAUUUACGUAUAUUUAGGUUCAUUGAAGCUAGUUUUUAAGGUAGGUUUAAGAGAUUUUUUAGGACUUGAUGGAGAUUUCAUGAAGGGCCCUUACCCUGGACAUGUUUUCACUGUUGUGGGUCUUGAUUCCACUAAUGGGAUCUACCCACUAGCAUAUGCCAUAACUGAAGCGGAGACCACAAGCUCAUGGAGUUGGUUUCAAGAGUGUCUAGGUGAAGAUUUGGAACUCUCUUCAAAAUCAAACUUCACAUUCAUUUCUGACAGGCAAAAGGUAAAUGUUCUUAUGAUACUUGUUUUUAAUAUUUCCUUUACAAACUAACAUAUUUGUUACUUGUUAUUUAAUGGAUAAUACAUGCUAUUUCCAAGCUAUUCCUUAGUGUUGAGCACUGGUUGUGUUGAAGACAUAUUCAUGAGAUCAUGAAGCUACAAUUGAGGGGGAAGGAACACAAGGAUCAUGUGUGUCAAUGUGAAACAACAACAAUAGUUAGUCACUUUGAUAGAUUCAUGGAAGAUUUUAAAAAGUUCAAUUCAAAGGUAUAUGACUGGUUAAUGGGUAUUCCACCAAUACAUUGGGCAAGAGCACAUAUGUCAGGUACUCUAGUUUUCAAAUGAAAGGGGCUCGGGACGAUUGCAGCGCAUACACCCGUGAUUUUCGCAAAAUGUGACCUAUGGGAUUAGACUCUGAUAAUUGUUUAAUCGAAAUGCUUUUCAAUGUUUGGAACAAAGUUAUUAAAGUGUUUUUACUGUAUUAAAAAAUGGAAA